UACGGGGGGUGCGAGCGUUGUCCGGAAUCACUGGGCGUAAAGGGCGCGUAGGUGGUUUGAUAAGGGUGUGGUGAAAGUCCGGGGCUCAACCCCGGAUCUGCCGUGCCGACUGUCAAACUCGAGGGCUGUAGAGGCAGACGGAAUUCCGGGUGUAGCGGUGGAAUGCGUAGAGAUCCGGAGGAAGACCGGUGGCGAAGGCGGGUUGCUGGGCUGACACUGACGCUGAGGCGCGAAAGCUAGGGGAGCGAACGGG
rnacentral:rRNA from 1 species